AUGGAAGAGCUGACGCCGGAGUUGAUCUGCAAGUUAGAGAAGAUCUUUCCGCGGGGGUUCUUUAACCCAAUGCUGCACUUGAUUUUGCAUCUACCAACCGAGGCAAGAUUGGGGAGGGGGGGCAUGCAAAAUCGUUGGUGCUACACAACUGAGAGGAUACAGAAGACGCUUCAAGCAAAAUAUAAAAAUAAAUGUAGAAUUGAAGCAUCGAUGGCCGAUGCAUUCAAUACUGAGGAGGCGACAAACUUCGUGACAGCACACUACGAAGACAAAAUUCAUCAUUUGCAUAAUCCGAAGCCUCGGUACAAUGCUGGCGACCCUAAAAAGGGUUGA
rnacentral:rRNA from 1 species